AUUGAACGCUGGCGGAAUGCUUUACACAUGCAAGUCGAACGGUAGAGGGGGCAACCCCUCGAGAGUGGCGAAUGGGUGAGUAAUAUAUCGGAACGUGCCCAGUCGUGGGGGAUAACGUAGCGAAAGUUACGCUAAUACCGCAUACGAUCUAAGGAUGAAAGCGGGGGAUCGCAAGACCUCGCGCGAUUGGAGCGGCCGAUAUCAGAUUAGGUAGUUGGUGGGGUAAAGGCUCACCAAGCCAACGAUCUGUAGCUGGUCUGAGAGGACGACCAGCCACACUGGAACUGAGACACGGUCCAGACGCCUACGGGAGGCAGCAGGGGGGAAUUUUGGACAAUGAACGCAAGUCUGAUCCAGCCAUUCCGCGUGCAGGAUGAAGGCCCUCGGGUUGUAAACUGCUUUUGUGCGGAACGAAAAGGUCUCUCUUAAUACGGGGGGCUCAUGACGGUACCGUAAGAAUAAGCACCGGCUAACUACGUGCCAGCAGCCGCCGUAACAC
rnacentral:rRNA from 1 species